UCCCCACCAAACGUUUCCCAAUUUAGUGUGAAGCAUUUGUUGAAUGAACGUGUUUGUACAUUUUUACGUUUUGUUAUUUAUCGUGUGUGUAUCAAACAACAUUGAUUCGGAAAAAUGUUGCUAUCACCUAUAAGUGAAUGCGACCAAUCUAAAGCUGCAAACGGAAAAUUAAGUUCGUUUUCUAAAUCAUGCAUCGAUAUUCCGCUACUUAAUCAACUUCUGGCCGAAUCAACGUUAAAUGAAGACCUCAAGCGAUCGCCUCAUUUCAAGUAUGCUGAUGGAUAUCUGAAUAUGGCGUUCCUGGAUAUAGACGG
rnacentral:lncRNA from 1 species